GUGUGUUACAAUUUAACGUUGCGUCGUUUGUUUUCUCUUAUUUUUUAGUGUAAAUUGACAUUGCGAUAAGACGUGUCACGGUACUUGUCUAUCCCAAAUUCAUGUAUUUGGUUUUGAUGGUAUAUUUGUUAUUCUCGUGGGAUUUUGUCUGAUGCUUGGUCCGUUUCUGUGUGUGUUAGUUACAUUGUAGUGUUGUGUCGUUGUUCUCCUCUUAUAUUUAUGCGUUUCCG
rnacentral:lncRNA from 1 species